rnacentral:rRNA from 1 species
CAGUCUGGCCUGCCCCCUGAAAUUUUAAAGGGCCGCGGUAUUUGGACCGUGCUAAGGUAGCAUAAUAAAUAGUCUUUUAAUUGGAGUCUAGUAUGAAUGGUCGGACAUGAAGUAAGCUGUUUUAAUUAUGGUAUUUGAAUUUUACUUUUAAGUGAAAAGGCUUAAAUUAAAUGGUGGGACGAUAAGACCCUAUAAAGCUUUACAUUUUACUUUUUGAUUGAAGGGGUUAAGGUUUCUUAUUUUUAGUGAGUAAAGUGUUUCGUUGGGGCGACGAGAAUAUAAAUAGUAACUGUUUUUAUUUAAAAAAUAUGUUUUUAUAGGUGAGCUGAUCCUUUAUAGAGAUUAUAAGAUUUAAGUUACUUUAGGGAUAACAGCGUAAUUUAUCUUGAGAGUUCAUAUCGACAGAUAUAGUUGCGACCUCGAUGUUGAAUUAAAAUGCCCCCGAGGUGUAGAAGUUUCGGCGGUAGGUCUGUUCGACCUUUAAAAUUUUACGUGAUCUGAGUU